CCUACGGGAGGCAGCAGUGAGGAAUAUUGGUCAAUGGGCGAGAGCCUGAACCAGCCAAGUCGCGUGAAGGAAGAAGGAUCUAUGGUUUGUAAACUUCUUUUAUAUGGGACUAAAGGGAGGAACGCGUUUCUUUUUGGAUGUACCAUAUGAAUAAGCAUCGGCUAACUCCGUGCCAGCAGCCGCGGUAAUACGGAGGAUGCGAGCGUUAUCCGGAUUUAUUGGGUUUAAAGGGUGAGUAGGUGGUGAAUUAAGUCAGCGGUGAAGGUUUGUGGCUCAACCAUAGCAUUGCCGUUGAAACUGUUUGACUUGAGUAUAUUUGAGGUAGGCGGAAUGCGUGGUGUAGCGGUGAAAUGCAUAGAUAUCACGCAGAACUCCGAUUGCGAAGGCAGCUUACUAAACUAUAACUGACGCUGAAGCACGAAAGCGUGGGGAUCAAACAGGAUUAGAUACCCGAGUAGUC
rnacentral:rRNA from 1 species